rnacentral:rRNA from 1 species
AGCGAACGCUGGCGGCAGGCUUAACACAUGCAAGUCGAGCGGGCAUCUUCGGGUGUCAGCGGCGGACGGGUGAGUAACGCGUGGGAACGUGCCUUCUGGUUCGGAAUAACUCAGGGAGACUUGAGCUAAUACCGGAUACGCCCUUUUGGGGAAAGGUUUACUGCCGGAAGAUCGGCCCGCGUCUGAUUAGCUAGUUGGUGGGGUAACGGCCUACCAAGGCGACGAUCAGUAGCUGGUCUGAGAGGAUGAUCAGCCACACUGGGACUGAGACACGGCCCAGACUCCUACGGGAGGCAGCAGUGGGGAAUAUUGGACAACGGGGGCAACCCUGAUCCAGCCAUGCCGCGUGAGUGAUGAAGGCCUUAGGGUUGUAAAGCUCUUUUAUCCGGGACGAUAAUGACGGUACCGGAGGAAUAAGCCCCGGCUAACUUCGUGCCAGCAGCCGCCGUAA